GACGAACGCUGGCGGCGUGCUUAACACAUGCAAGUCGAACGAAGUGGCGAACGGGUGAGUAACGCGUAAUCAACCUGCCCUUCAGAGGGGGACAACAGUUGGAAACGACUGCUAAUAACGCAUACUGAAGGAGGGGAUUGCGUCGUAUUAGCUAGUAGGAGGGGUAACGGCCCACCAAGGCGAGGAUCAGUAGCCGUGCGUGGAGGCUGAUCGGCCACAUUGGGACUGAGACACGGCCCAGACUCCUACGGGAGGCAGCAGGGGGUAAUCUUCCGCAAUGGACGAAAGUCUGACGGAGCAACGCCGCGUGAGUGAUGACGGCCUUCGGGUUGUAAAGCUCUGUUAAUCGGGACGCGGUACCGGAAUAGAAAGCCACGGCUAACUACGUGCCAGCCGCCGCGGUAAUUC
rnacentral:rRNA from 1 species